rnacentral:rRNA from 1 species
GAUGAACGCUGGCGGCGUGCCUAAUACAUGCAGGUCGAGCGAAUGGAUUAAGAGCUUGCUCUUAUGAAGUUAGCGGCGGACGGGUGAGUAACACGUGGGUAACCUGCCCAUAAGACUGGGAUAACUCCGGGAAACCGGGGCUAAUACCGGAUAAUAUUUUGAACUGCAUGGUUCAAAAUUGAAAGGCGGCUUCGGCUGUCACUUAUGGAUGGACCCGCGUCGCAUUAGCUAGUUGGUGAGGUAACGGCUCACCAAGGCAACGAUGCGUAGCCGACCUGAGAGGGUGAUCGGCCACACUGGGACUGAGACACGGCCCAGACUCCCACGGGAGGCAGCAGUAGGGAAUCUUCCGUAAUGGACGAAAGUCUGACGGAGCAACGCCGCGUGAGUGAUGAAGGCUUUCGGGUCGUAAAACUCUGUUGUUAGGGAAGAACAAGUGCUAGUUGAAUAAGCUGGCACCUUGACGGUACCUAACCAGAAAGCCACGGCUAACUACGUGCCAGCCGCCGCAGUAA